rnacentral:rRNA from 1 species
UACGGAGGGUCCAAACGUUGUCCGGAAUCACUGGGCGUAAAGAGCAUGUAGGUGGCUUUGUAAGUGAGCGAUUAAAGACCGAGGCUUAACCUCGGGAAUGUUGCUUAUACUGCAUGGCUUGAGGAUACCAGGGGCAAGCGGAACUUUAAGUGUAGGAGUGAAAUCCGUAGAUAUUUAAAGGAACACCAAUGGCGAAGGCAGCUUGCUAGGGUAUAUCUGACACUGAGAUGCGAAAGCGUGGGGAGCAAACGGG